UACGAAGGGGGGCUAGCGUUGCUCGGAAUCACUGGGCGUAAAGCGCACGUAGGCGGAUUGUUAAGUCAGGGGUGAAAUCCUGGAGCUCAACUCCAGAACUGCCUUUGAUACUGGCGAUCUCGAGUCCGGGAGAGGUGAGUGGAACUGCGAGUGUAGAGGUGAAAUUCGUAGAUAUUCGCAAGAACACCAGUGGCGAAGGCGGCUCACUGGCCCGGUACUGACGCUGAGGUGCAAAAGCGUGGGGAGCAAACAGG
rnacentral:rRNA from 1 species